GAUGAACGCUGGCGGCAUGCCUAAUACAUGCAAGUCGAACGAGAGGAAGGAAAGCUUGCUUUCCUGAAUCUAGUGGCGAACGGGUGAGUAACACGUAGGUAACCUGCCCAUGUGCCCGGGAUAACUUCUGGAAACGGAUGCUAAAACCGGAUAGGUAGCAGACAAGCAUUUGACUGCUAUUAAAGUGGCCUUGGCCAUGAACAUGGAUGGACCUGCGGUGCAUUAGCUGGUUGGUGAGGUAACGGCCCACCAAGGCGACGAUGCAUAGCCGGCCUGAGAGGGCGGACGGCCACAUUGGGACUGAGACACGGCCCAAACUCCUACGGGAGGCAGCAGUAGGGAAUUUUCGUCAAUGGGGGGAACCCUGAACGAGCAAUGCCGCGUGAGUGAGGAAGGUCUUCGGAUCGUAAAGCUCUGUUGUAAGAGAAAAACGGCACUCAUAGGGAAUGAUGAG
rnacentral:rRNA from 1 species